GGACUACUGGGGUAUCUAAUCCCGUUUGCUCCCCUGGCUUUCGCGCCUCAGCGUCAGAAGAGGUCCAGCGCGCCGCUUUCGCCACCGGCGUUCCUUCCGAUAUCUACGCAUUUCACCGCUCCACCGGAAGUUCCGCACGCCCCUACCUCCCUCCAGACACCCAGUAUCCAAGGCAGUUUUCCGGUUGAGCCGAAAGAUUUCACCCCGGACUUGGGUAUCCGCCUACGCGCCCUUUAAGCCCAGUGAAUCCGAACAACGUUCGCACGGUUCGUCUUACCGCGGCUGCUGGCAC
rnacentral:rRNA from 2 species